GAUGAACGCUGGCGGCGUGCCUAAUACAUGCAAGUCGAGCGAACAGACGAGGAGCUUGCUCCUUUGACGUUAGCGGCGGACGGGUGAGUAACACGUGGGUAACCUACCUAUAAGACUGGGAUAACUUCGGGAAACCGGAUCUAAUACCGGAUAAUAUUUCGAACCGCAUGGUUCGAUAGUGAAAGAUGGCUUUGCUAUCACUUAUAGAUGGACCUGCGCCGUAUUAGCUAGUUGGUAAGGUAACGGCUUACCAAGGCAACGAUACGUAGCCGACCUGAGAGGGGGAUCGGCCACACUGGAACUGAGACACGGUCCAGAAUCCUACGGGAGGCAGCAGUAGGGAAUCGUCCGCAAUGGGCGAAAGCAUGACGGAGCAACGCCGCGUGAGUGAUGAAGGUCUUCGGAUCGUAAAACUCUGUUAUUAGGGAAGAACAAACGUGUAAGUAACUGUGCACGUCUUGACGGUAACUAAUCAGAAAGCCACGGCUAACUACGUG
rnacentral:rRNA from 1 species